rnacentral:rRNA from 1 species
UACGUAGGGGGCAAGCGUUGUUCGGAAUUAUUGGGCGUAAAGCGCGUGUAGGCGGCGUGACAAGUCGGGUGUGAAAGCCCUCAGCUCAACUGAGGAAGUGCGCCCGAAACUGUCGUGCUUGAGUGCCGGAGAGGGUGGCGGAAUUCCCCAAGUAGAGGGUGAAAAUUCGUAGAUAUGGGGGAGGAACACCGGUGGCGAAGGCGGCCACCUGGACGGUA